UUCUAAAUAAGUUCAAAGCCAGAUUAAGAGCCCAUCACUCAUCCAUGAAGGAAAUCUUCAAGCAAAUGCUGUGCAGAGACAGCAGCCAAAAAUGAUGCAGAAGACUUGGAUUUUUCAUGGGAAGAAAUUUUAGGAAUACUUGUCUAGGUCUGACUGCCGUGGCUAAGAUGUCCAAUACUACGUUGAAUAAGAGUGGCAAGAGUGAGCAUCUUUGUCUUCUUCCUAAUCUUACAGAAAAAGCUUUCUAGCUUUUCACCAUCGACCACCCUCAAGGCAUGCGGCAGUUCCUGUGCCAAGGAUUGAAUCCAAGUCACUGCUAUGACCUAUGCUACAGCUGCAGCAAGGCCAGAUCCUUUAACCCACUGCACCAGACUGGGGAUUGAACCCAUGCCUCUACAGUGACCAGAACUGCUACAGUAGUAUUACUAAUCCACCGCACCACAGAGGAAACUCCUUGAGUUUCUACUUCUAAUGCUCAUCAAAUGCAUCUUCUAUGAUAGUUCUCUAUGGAGACAUUUUCCAUCAGGGUAAUUACAAUUGAAUUACUGUUCUGAAGCAAAUAGCAAGUAAUUAUUUGGAAAUAAAUUUUAAAAUAUGUA